CGAACCGGUAACGGGGGACGUCCGGUUGAAGACUCGAUGGGAAGAACUCUUUCCCACCCAACCCACCCUUGUCACCCCAUCGGGUGACGCGGUGGAAAGCGCCUCGAUCGGCACGGUAGCGUCGCGCUCACCCGAUGAGACGUCGGGAAAAUGACGACGGCCCCCGCCGGGACAGCCAUCCCGGGCGAGGGCCUGAUCAUCAAGGAAGCAGACCCUUCCCC
rnacentral:ncRNA from 1 species